AGAGUUUGAUCCUGGCUCAGGAUGAACGCUGGCGGCGUGCCUAACACAUGCAAGUCGAACGAAGCGCCCGCGCGGAUUCCCUCGGGAUGAAGCGCGGAUGACUGAGUGGCGGACGGGUGAGUCACGCGUGGGCAACCUGCCCCGUGCCGGGGGACAACAGCCGGAAACGGCUGCUAAUACCGCAUGAUCCGGAAGGGCCGCAUGGCCUUUCCGGGAAAGCUCCGGCGGCACGGGAUGGGCCCGCGUCUGAUUAGUUUGUUGGCGGGGUAACGGCCCACCAAGACUGCGAUCAGCAGCCGGCCUGAGAGGGCGGCCGGCCACAUUGGGACUGAGACACGGCCCAGACUCCUGCGGGAGGCAGCAGUGGGGAAUAUUGCACAAUGGGGGAAACCCUGAUGCAGCGACGCCGCGUGGGCGACGAAGCGCUCCGGCGCGUAAAGCCCUGUCAGCAGGGAAGAACAAAGACAGUACCUGACCAAGAAGCCCCGGCUAACUACGUGCCAGCAGCCGCGGUAAUACGUAGGGGGCAAGCGUUAUCCGGAUUCACUGGGCGUAAAGGGAGCGCAGGCGGCACGGCAAGUCUGGUGUGAAAGCCCGGGGCCCAACCCCGGGACUGCAUUGGAAACUGCCGGGCUGGAGUGCCGGAGGGGUAAGCGGAAUUCCUGGUGUAGCGGUGAAAUGCGCAGAUAUCAGGAAGAACACCGGUGGCGUAGGCGGCUUACUGGACGGCAACUGACGCUGAGGCUCGAAAGCGUGGGGAGCAAACAGAAUUAGAUACCCUGGUAGUCCACGCUGUAAACGA
rnacentral:rRNA from 1 species